AAAGGAAGGAAGGUAGUUAGGAAGAAAAGAGUAAGGGAUAGAGAAAGAUUGGAAAGAGAGAGUGAGAGUGGAGGUUCGAAAAACGUGUUGAGAGUCUCGACGGGGCUGACACCCCGAGUAGAAUAGGUGUCCUAUCGGUAAGAGAAAUAACGAAUCAAGAGGUGUAAGAAAGAGUGAGGAAGAAUUGUGAAGGGGAGUGGAUAAGCGCAAGUAAGCAAGCGAGUAGCAGUAGCAACAGCAGCAGCAGCAGCAGUAGCAGCAGCAGUAAUAGUAUAGAGAGGUGUAGUAUAAAGGGAAAGAAAAGAUAGGAAAGAAAAGGAGGAGAGGAGAGAGGGAGGGAGGGAGGCCGUCGCGACGGACGUCGCUGGACGUCGCUGGACGUCGCGUGGAAGAUACAAGUAAUAAAGUCAAAUCGACGAAACGCUGAUUCUUCCCUGUGUGUCUGAUGAGCUCCUCCGUCGUACCGUUGGUGGUAAGAUGGCUGUGCAGCUGGAUGGAGGAGGGAAGGAGGUCUUGAAAACACAAUUCGCCACGCGGGAAGGAACUUACAAGCUGAUGACCUUGUCAGAAUAUUCGAGGCCGAACAGGGUCGGCUACACCAACAGCCAAGGGAGUGCAUCCGUCAGAGUUUCCUUCGUCACUUUGCCAGACUCUUCGAAUCCCUCAGGGGCUACGCAAGAGCACGACGACCGAAUGUGUUUUAAUUUCGGAAAGGAGCUCUACGUCUACGUUUAUCGUGGUGUCAAAAAGGCAGUGGAUUUGAACAAUCCUGUGGAAAAGAAAACAUAUAAGGGAACUAAUCCGACUUGCCACAAUUUUAAUCAAACUACAGCAACGGCAGAUAGUGCACCAUUAUUAGUAGGAUUUUCUACAGGACAAAUACAAUUGAUAGAUCCUAUAAAACAAGAAUUCAGUAAAUUGUAUAAUGAAGAUAGACUAAUAGACAAAAGUAAGGUAACUUGCAUAAAAUGGGUUCCUGGUUCAAAUAAUCUCUUCUUGGUCUCUCAUAGUUCGGGUCAACUAUAUUUAUAUAAUGAGGAACUUAUUUGUGGAACGACGGCUCCUCACUAUCAGUCAUUUAUGUCUGGCGAUGGUUAUGCUGUAUACGUGUGCAAAGCUAAAUCUACCAGGAACCCUCUGUACAGAUGGGUGAUAGGUGCAGAGGGAUGUUGCAUAAAUGAAUUUGCCUUCAGUCCUUGUGGUUCAAACUUGGCAGUUGUUUCUCAAGAUGGAUUUCUUAGAGUAUUCCAAUAUAAUAAAAUGGAACUUUUAGGAUCUGCAAGAAGUUACUUUGGUGGAUUUUUGUGCGUAUGUUGGUCGCCGGAUGGUAGAUACGUGGUAGUUGGAGGAGAAGAUGAUCUUGUAACUAUUUGGAGCUUUCAUGAAAAACGGGUGGUGGCCCGUGGACAAGGUCAUCACAGUUGGGUGAGCGUUGUUGCAUUUGAUCCAUAUACUACAUCAUACGGAGAUCAAGAUCCUGACUUUAGCGGAUCAGAUGAUGAAACGAUGCCUCAUAAUAACCAUAAUCAUUUUCAUGAAAAGUCAAAUCGUUUGUCAACAAGUUCGCAAGGAGUUCAUUCCAAUAGGAACUCUAGUGGGUCUGAACUGAGAGUGCCAGGUGGUACGUGCUACAGGCUUGGAAGCGUAUCGCAAGAUACCCAAUUGUGUUUGUGGGACAUCACAGAAGAUAUAUUAAGGCAACCAGUAUGUCCUAAGCAGAGACCUUCUGCCGCAGGCUCUACUACCUUCACUUCCUCGGGGACACAUAAUAGCGGUAAUGGCUCAAUGGCUAAUCAUCACUUGAACAAUUCUAAACUGAAUAAUACAAAUAAUAUAAAUUAUAAGGAAAACGUGAGUGGUAAUAAUGAAAGUAGUAACAAUAGCGCGAGUACCAACACAGCAGUGUCGACAGUAAAUUCAUUGACACAGAGGCUAGCAGGUCUUGGUUUUGGUGAACGUAAGGGUGAUAAUCACAAGAGGAACUUCAGCCUCACUAUGAGAGGUAGUGGUGCAUCUAAUAGCACGGUCGUGCAAAACAAUAGUGGGGAAAAAACGAGCACCAACUCGAAUUCGAGUAGUAAUAUGAACAGUGUUGGUGCAAGUUUAGUAGGUGCAAAUAAGAAGGUCAGUUCGGUGUUGGACGAUCCAAUGAGAUUAAUAGGAACUGCCUAUUGUCCGAGGUUCGACGAAUGCCCAGUCCUUCAGCCAUUGGUGUGCAAAAAGCUGGCGCAUGAGAGAUUGACUGAAUUAGUGUUUAGGAAAGAUUGCUUCGUAACCGCGUGUCAAGAUGGAUACGUAUAUACAUGGGCAAGACCAGGUCACAUGUGACAGUCUUAUAAUUUAAUCGGAAGAUGCUUGCGCUUGUUUCUUAAAGCCGGUGGGGCAUUAAUUUUUUACUUUGAUUGGAAAGAUUAAUGUUCUGUACCAAUGCUUUGGCUGAUGCAAGAGAAUCGUGGAUGAGACUUCCCUGAGUUAUCGCAUGGCAUUGGACAGGUUGGUAAUGCCCUACACGUUGUCAGUCCAGCAGAAGGUGGGGGUACUAUAGUAUAGCCACAGUCUGAUACAAAUGUAG
rnacentral:misc_RNA from 1 species